AGAGUUUGAUCAUGGCUCAGGAUGAACGCUAGCGGCAGGCCUAACACAUGCAAGUCGAGGGGUAGAAGGUGCUUGCACCUUUGAGACCGGCGCACGGGUGCGUAACGCGUAUGCAACCUACCUUCCACAGGGGAAUAGCCCAGAGAAAUUUGGAUUAAUGCCCCAUGGCACAGCGAGACGGCAUCGUCUUGCUGUUAAAGUAACAACGGUGGAAGAUGGGCAUGCGUCCCAUUAGCUAGUUGGUAAGGUAACGGCUUACCAAGGCUAUGAUGGGUAGGGGUCCUGAGAGGGAGAUCCCCCACACUGGUACUGAGACACGGACCAGACUCCUACGGGAGGCAGCAGUGAGGAAUAUUGGUCAAUGGUCGCAAGACUGAACCAGCCAUGCCGCGUGCAGGAUGACGGUCCUAUGGAUUGUAAACUGCUUUUGUACGGGAAGAAACACUCCUACGUGUAGGAGCUUGACGGUACCGUAAGAAUAAGGAUCGGCUAACUCCGUGCCAGCCGCCGCGGUAAUAC
rnacentral:rRNA from 1 species